CUACGGGAGGCAGCAGUAAGGAAUAUUGGACAAUGGUCGGAAGACUGAUCCAGCCAUGCCGCGUGAAGGAUGAAGGCGCUCAGCGUUGUAAACUUCUUUUGUACAGGAACAAAAUGCGACCUGCGGGUUGUACUGAGGGUACUGUAAGAAUAAGCACCGGCUAACUCCGUGCCAGCAGCCGCGGUAAUACGGAGGGUGCAAGCGUUAUCCGGAAUCACUGGGUUUAAAGGGUGCGUAGGCGGUCUGAUAAGUCAGUUGUGAAAUUCCCUCGCUUAACGAGUGGGACUGCGAUUGAUACUGUUGGACUUGAAUCAGGUUGAGGUAGGCGGAAUGUGGCAUGUAGCGGUGAAAUGCAUAGAUAUGCCAUAGAACACCAAUUGCGAAGGCAGCUUGCUGGGCUUUGAUUGACGCUGAGGCACGAAAGCGUGGGGAGCAAACAGGAUUAGAUACCCGCGUAGUC
rnacentral:rRNA from 1 species